UGUCACUACAACGGCAGCCGACCGCGCUGCGC
rnacentral:sRNA from 1 species